GCGGGGGUGGCGGAACUGGUAGACGCAAGGGACUUAAAAUCCCUUGUCCCGCAAGGGACGUGCCGGUUCGAUUCCGGCCCUCCGCACCA
rnacentral:tRNA from 1 species